rnacentral:rRNA from 1 species
UACGUAGGGUGCAAGCGUUAAUCGGAAUUACUGGGCGUAAAGCGUGCGCAGGCGGCUUUGCAAGACAGAUGUGAAAUCCCCGGGCUUAACCUGGGAACUGCAUCUGUGACUGCAUAGCUAGAGUACGGUAGAGGGGGAUGGAAUUCCGCGUGUAGCAGUGAAAUGCGUAGAUAUGCGGAGGAACACCGAUGGCGAAGGCAAUCCCCUGGACCUGUACUGACGCUCAUGCACGAAAGCGUGGGGAGCAAACAGG